UCUCAGGCCCGUUCAUCGUCUACAUGUUGAGAGACAUUGAUAUCCUGGAGGACUGGGCAGCUAUACAGAAGGCUAAAGCAGCACUGACACCACUAAAGAAGAAAUCAGACAAGCGGUGAUAACAGAGGGGUGUCUCAGAUGUCUAGAUGAACCAAAGUCUCUGAGUUGCAGAAGAGAACUCACAACAACAGAACAGUCUUGAACACAACACAACAGAACAGUCCUGACCACUAUUUAAAAACAAAGCACUUCAGUAGGGUAUUGUUCAGUAGGGCAUACUGGAACAAAACAUUUUUCAACAGAAAAUGUAAAUCUGUCUUCUUAUUGAACAAGUUCAGGACAGUACCUCCCUGUUUCAAACUGUUUUGUCCCUACUGAACACAGCCCAGACUAUGAAGACGAAGCAGCAGAUUGAUCACCUUUAGGUUCUGAUUCAUCUAUCACACUAUGGCCCAGUUACCUUUAGGUGAUUCAUCUAUAACACUAUGGCCCAGUUACCUUUAGGUGAUUCAUCUAUAACACUAUGGCCCAGUUACCUUUAGGUGAUUCAUCUAUAACUAGUGCUAAGCGAUUAACCAAAAUGUUGAAUAGGUUUUUAAACAAGUAAUUGACCAACGUUGGUUCAAUUGUUUGAAUUCCAUUUCGUUAUUUUUC